rnacentral:piRNA from 1 species
UUAAAGGUUAAAGUUUCCUUGAUGGGUUUU